CGACCUCAGAGCAGAUGAGAUUACCCGCUGAAUUUAAGCAUAUUACUAAGCGGUGGAAAAGAAACUAACUAUGAUUCCCUUAGUAGCGGCGAGCGAACAGGGAAGAGCCCAGCACUACGAGCCCAGCACUCGUAAAUCCCGCGGCCGGACGCUGGGAAAUGUAGUGUUAGGGAGGAUCCGAUUAUCUCGGUGCGUUGCGGCGAGUUCAAGUCCAUCUUGAAUGGGGCCAUUUACCCAUAGAGGGUGCCAGGCCCGUAGCGACCGUUGCGCGUAUCGAGAGAAUCUCUCCUCAGAGUCGAGUUGCUUGAGAGUACAGCUCUAAGUGGGUGGUAAACUCCAUCUAAGGCUAAAUAUGACCACGAGACCGAUAGCGAACAAGUACCGUGAGGGAAAGUUAAAAAGAACUUUGAAGAGAGAGUUCAAGAGUACGUGGAACCGUUCAGGGGUAAACCUGAGAAACCCGAAAGAUCGAAAGGAGAGAUUCAAUGUUAUCGUUGUCUUCCCUUUAGUGGCGUGCGAUUGACCGGGAUUUGUCCCGCGAUACGCCGUUGGUUUAUGUGUCAGGCGGCGUUGGCAUGCACUUCUCUCUCAGUAGGACGUCGCGACCCGUUUGGUGUCGAUCUACGACCGCGGCGGUAGCCUGCCACGAAUUUAUUCGCGCCAGACCCCGCGUGCUCCGGCCGACUGCCAGACGGUAUAAAUGAUAUGGUAUAGGGUCGCUUUUAAGCGUUCGGCCGGUUGCAAGCACGGACGGCUAUUGGCCGUCGGACCUAGUCCGGCAUCAAAGCCGCCUCGAGCUGUUAGCUACCGUGUUCUCGAACGGACUCUAUUACCGGUCAGCGAUGCUAUUGCUUUGGGUACUUUCAGGACCCGUCUUGAAACACGGACCAAGGAGUCUAGCAUGUGCGCGAGUCAUUGGGAAAUACAAAACCUAAAGGCGCAAUGAACGUAAAGGUUUGCUUAAGUAAACUGAGGGAUGACAGACCGCAUCCACGGAUGCGUGCUUGCAAUCCUGAGGCGUCUCACUCUCAUUGCGAGAAGAGACGCACUCAGAGCGUACACGCUAAGACCCGAAAGAUGGUGAACUAUGCCUGGUCAGGUCGAAGUCAGGGGAAACCCUGAUGGAGGACCGUAGCGAUUCUGACGUGCAAAUCGAUCGUCGGAACUGGGUAUAGGGGCGAAAGACUAAUCGAACCAUCUAGUAGCUGGUUUCCCUCCGAAGUUUCCCUCAGGAUAGCUGGCAUUCGAUGAGCGAGUCUCAUCCGGUAAAGCGAAUGAUUAGAGGCCUUGGGGCCGAAACGACCUCAACCUAUUCUCAAACUUUAAAUGGGUGAGAUCUCUGGCUUGCUUGAAUAGUGAAGCCAGAGAUUUGGAUCAGAGUGCCUAGUGGGCCAUUUUUGGUAAGCAGAACUGGCGCUGUGGGAUGAACCAAACGCCGAGUUAAGGCGCCUAAACGACGCUAAUGGGAUACCAUGAGAGGCGUUGGUUGCUUAAGACAGCAGGACGGUGGCCAUGGAAGUUGGAAUCCGCUAAGGAGUGUGUAACAACUCACAUGCCGAAGCAACUAGCCCUGAAAAUGGAUGGCGCUGAAGCGUCGUGCCUAUACUCGGCCGCCAAGGCAUGAGAAACGUUCAUAAUAGUUCGUUUUGACGCCCUGGUGAGCAGGAAGGUCGCGGUGGUGUGCGCAGAAGGGUUUGGGCGUAAGCCUGCCUGGAGCCGCCAUCGGUGCAGAUCUUGGUGGUAGUAGCAAAUACUCCAGCGAGGCCCUGGAGGACUGACGUGGAGAAGGGUUUCGUGUGAACAGCCGUUGCACACGAGUCAGUCGAUCCUAAGCCCCAGGAGAAAUCCUAUGUUGAUGUCGGUGUAUUUUAUUUUGAAUAAAAUUUCACACCCAUCGGGCAAAACGGAAUCCGGUUCCUAUUCCGGAACCCGGCAGCGAAACCGUUUACAAGUCGGGCCCUCGCAAGAGAGUUCGUCGGGGUAACCCAAAAUGACCUGGAGACGCCGUCGGGAAAUACGGGAAGAGUUUUCUUUUCUGUAGGAGCGUUCGAGUUCCCUGGAAUCCUCUAGAAGGGAGAUAGGGUUUGGAACGCGAAGAGUACCGCUGUUGCGGCGGUGUCCGUAUCUUCCCCUCGGACCUUGAAAAUCCAGGAGAGGGCCACGGUAGGUGUCGCGCCGGUUCGUACCCAUAUCCGCAGCAGGUCUCCAAGGUGAAGAGCCUCUAGUCGAUAGAUAAAUGUAGGUAAGGGAAGUCAGCAAAUUGGAUCCGUAACUUCGGGAUAAGGAUUGGCUCUGAGGAUCGGGGCGUGCCGGGCUUGGUUGGGAAGCGGGCGUAGGCCGAUGUGCCGGGUCUGGGCAAGGUGAAAUUGUCCUUGUGACUUAGAUCCGAGCUCGGUCCCGUGUCUAGGCCCCUCGCGAAUCUUUCUUGCUGCGAGGUUUCUGUGCCGGCUUCGGUCAGUCAGUCGUACUCUUCGGCCGCCAUUCAACGGUCAGCUCAGAA